rnacentral:rRNA from 1 species
GAUGAACGCUGGCGGCGUGCCUAAUACAUGCAAGUCGAGCGAACAGACGAUGAUCUUGCUCCUCUGUCGUUAGCGGCGGACGGGUGAGUAACACGUGUAUAACCUACCUAUAAGACUGGGAUAACUUCGGGAAACCGGAGCUAAUACCGGAUAAUAUCUUGAACCGCAUGGUUCAAUAGUGAAAGACGGUUUUGCUGUCACUUAUAGAUGGAUCCGCGCCGCAUUAGCUAGUUGGUAAGGUAACGGCUUACCAAGGCAACGAUGCGUAGCCGACCUGAGAGAGGGGUAGGCCACACGGGAACGGAGACACGGUCCAGACUCCUACGGGAGGCAGCAGUAGGGAAUCUUACGCAAUGGGCGAGAGCCUGACGGAGCAACGCCGCGUGAGUGAUGAAGGUCUUCGGAUCGUAAAAAUCUGUUAUUAGGGAAGAACAAAUGUGUAAGUAACUAUGCACGUCUUGACGGUACCUAAUCAGAAAGCCACGGCUAACUACGUG